CACCAUGGACACAAGCAAGGACUGAUUGGUGGUUCUUGGUAGCGGUGCCGAGCAUCGGCGGAUCGAAGUGGUCGAGGUCGCGGUUAAUCCACCCGGACGAGACAUGCAUCUUGGAGCUAGCGCAGAGGGGGGAAGAAGCAGGUUGGUAUGGCCCGGUAUGUCCAGUUCUUCCCAUGAAGGUCACAUGCCUAACUUCGUGCUAGACAUUGCUAACUUAGCCACUUGAUGUUAAACUCUGUAUGUGUAACUAGACCUAGCACCACACAAUGAUUCGAUUCGAUGUGUUAAAUUAAAGUACCAAUUACGCAUGUUCACCCCUUUGUACAUGUGUGCUCUUGCAUUGCUUACUAUAUCUUGCUUUAUAUGAUGGCCCAUUGUCAGCUAUACAACUUUUGAAUCCUGUCAAGUUCAGUUCAGAUUUGAUUUUUUUUCACCACUUUUUGCAUGGACAAUGUGUCUGGUGUUUAAAUAAUGGCUACUUGAAAUUCAUAGGCAUUGUGAGGUCAGAAAGUAUUCCAUUUUGACUCCAUUAUUCAGUAUGGUUCAAAGUUGUUAGUUGCUACACCUACAUGUGGAAAACUUAUGGCAUUCUAAAAUUAAGCAGCAACAUUUAUUGCCGGUCAUUUAAAAUUGCAGUGACAAGACAACUGCUGACACAGAGUUCUACCUCUCUGACUGAAACAGGAACUUUCGCUCAAAGAAAACACACACAGGGCAGGAACAUGACUACUCUUCCCCUUCCAAGUUUCUGAUCGAUCGAACUCUUUGGUGACCAGAAAAUGAGAAAAAGGCAGGCCGUCGAUGUACAGACCAUAGGUGCUCGGACGCACGGCCGGCAUCAUGGUCGCCAUAACUCACAACCCAUGAGGUGGUGACCAAGCAAGAAAGGAAG
rnacentral:lncRNA from 1 species